rnacentral:sRNA from 1 species
GUUACAAAUAUUUAACCCCAUCCACAGGCUCACAGGUUAACCCUUGACCCCAAGCUGGCGGUGCUGCUUUGGGAGGUGGUGGAAGCUGUAGGAGGCAGGGCCUCAGUUGAGGAAGUGGGUCAGCAUGGCUCUGCAUUCUCAAGACACAACAAUCCAGAGGCAGUGACAUGAAUGCUUGCUCCGUGGACAGGUGGAAAAAUGACUGGGGAUAAAGGAUGGAUGAGAGCAGGACCUGCUGUCUCACAGCAGCGCCACACAGAACCCCACCUGCUGUGGAAUGCACACGAGCCAUUUUAGAGCAUGGGGGAAAUGUGGUAAAAUCCUUUAAAAUCUUCCUGACGAGUAAAUUCCUGGAAAGCAAUUAAUGUGGAAGGCUUUCAGGGACCAGAGGGAGUGGCAGAUAGCUUGAAUCCUGUUUCCUGAGUGGUCAGCCACGGACAUCACUCCAAACCAGGUAGCAAAGAGUGUGCUUUUUACAUCUCUGUUCUAGGAAGAACAUUUGCACAACUUCUAGCAACAUUCUUGGGUCAGUGGCCAUGACCCUGAGGCAAUGCUUAGCGCUACAGUGAUCGUUUGACUCCACACGGUACUACAAAAAGUGAAGCAGUGAAAGCCCUGGGCCACACCAACAAGCACGUGACAAGAGAGACGCUUGCUCAUACGACAGAGGCCUGCAUCCCUUAGGCAGAGUACUGACCAUGAUUGGAUGCGAAUGGAAGAAUGUCAACUAAGGAUUGUGUCUAUAUAGAAAAUCAUUAGCCAAACACCACAGGGCUAAUUAAUGUCAUUUGAAAUACUUUCUGUGUAUGUUGAAUAGAGUGCCGCCAUUAUCAUCUGGCCAAACGAAAUGCCUGCCCAUAAACAACAUGGAGCUAUUUAACAGGAUAGCUAAUUACAUCUCGUCUCACAGCCCCAACUGAUCCUAAGCAACAACUCCCUAAGCUGUGUUGUAGUGCAAGGUAGCCUAAGGCUCUGGGGCAGUUACUGAAUCAUGAGAUUUUACUGUUAGAACUUGUUCGGUGUGUUUAAAAACCACCAAAAUAUUGAAUGGAGUAAAGUUACUAGGGAGACCGCAGCUUGGAAAGAGGCAGAGGAGAUCAAGAUAGAGAGGGACACUUCAAAAGCCACGCUCGGGCUCACAGGCACCUGGCACGAAGCUAAGAAUGCUGGGGGAAUGGGAGGGAAAGUACCAAGCCCUGUGCUUUGCUCCAGGUCACCUGGUUCUAUGCGGCACCCUUGUGGGUGGCCUGUGGCAUCUAUGGCUGGAGGCAGCUGCAUGUGUUUCCAUGGUCUUCAGGUGGCAGGUUCUCUUUUUACCAAGCACUUUGUAUAAACUGUUCCCUUCAGCCUUCCUUCUUCACAUACAUUCUAUAGGAGGUUUAUUUUGGGCCCAAGGCGUGCUUCUCUCUGCAUUUGAUCUCAAAGCAAGCUCGUUGAAAAGAGGACCAGAGACCUAGACAAACCUUAUGGACUUGUGUCAUCCUUCUAUGUAUGCAAGAGACACAUUCCAGGUCCCCCCAUAGGCACCCAAGUUCUCACAUGCUCCGCUGUGGCAUUGCCAUAGAUCUGUACACAUCCCAGUGUGUGUAUUUUGAAUUGUCUCUAGACAAGUUUUGAUGAUAUUGCUGUGUCCAUGCCAGGGAGACAUUUGUUAAUGCUGCAUUGUGUUGGGGAUAAAGACAAGGGGAAAGCCACUCAUGCUCUGUGCAGAGGCAUUUUCAGUAAUCCCCCACCAUGGGGGAGGGAGGUCAGUUAAACCCUAGUGUCCAGGUUGGCUUUUUACUGCUGUGAUAAACACCAUGACCAAAAGCAAAUUGGGGAGAAAAGACUUCAUCUUAUGGCUUAUCGUGCAUCAUCCAGCAAGGCCAGGGCAGGAACUUGAGACAGGGACCUGGAAGGACGUACGAACUAAAGCAGAGACCAUAGAGGAAUGCUACUUACUCUCUUGCCUCCACUGCUUGUUCAUACAGCUCAGGACCACCUCCCACAACGAACUCCAUCCCCCAACCCACGUCCACCUUUAAUCAAGAGUCUUUCCUACAAACCAAUCUAAUGGAGGUAGUUUCUCAGCUGAGUGCUACUCCUCUACUAGUUUGUGUCAGGUUGACAAAUACUAACUAGCACCCUGGAUACAGCAGAUGUCAUGGAUACAAAGGGCUGGCUGCAGUGAUGGGACACUGGCCACCUUACUACCUUACUUCCUACCUACGAUGUGUCAAAGUCCAUCUCACUUUAAACCUAAAGGAGAAAAUAAUUUUGAAUAUUUUUCUUGAUUUUUUUCCCCAAAUGGGAUAUGGGAAAAAAGUACAACAUUACUGGGUCAUUAUUGUUCGUUUUCAGAACAAUGACAGAAUCUGAAAUCAUAUGGGAAAUGGACUCUGGGUUGGAACCCAGAACCUUGUCCCUCCCACUUAGGCAUGUGCUCUUACACUGAGCUACACCCUUGGCCUCAUACCUUCAUUUCUAAAAAUAAUGCCAAUGUGUAAUUGUGAGGAUUAAAGUAACAUGGAGACAAAUGAGUACACACUUCAUGUGCAUCAAAGCGGAGUCAUGCUAGGAAUUGCCUGGAGUGGACAUCUGUCUUAGGAGUUGCCAGGGAUGCUCAUAAUGACUCACAAAGUCUUCAGUGUGCUCCUUGACAUACAGUUUGUGUCACUGGUAUGGUCUUGGCCAGCUGCUCUCCAAUGUUUCCUCUAACUGGCUGCUCUCUGGACAUACCAUGAACCCCUCUGAGAACAAGCUUUUGCAGUGUAUCAGGGCCAACACCACUUGGCUUUUGAGAUGCUAUCUAUGUUUUCCAGCUACAGUGGUUUGUGACAUGCCUGGGCCUGUCCCAGUCUAUCCUAUGGAGACUGUUUACCUGCCUUUUUAAUGCUACAUACAUAUUCAGGUAAGCAGCCUGACGAUGAAUGAUGGCUGUAAGAAGCCAUUUCCAACAGUAGGUUGGGGUCUUGGUGGAUCUCAUGAUGCUCUUCUGUGGGGCUUCUGUAGACUUCAAGGACCAGUAAGCAGUUUUCACCCACAUGGGGGUAUGAGAUGUGAGAGGUGUUUUCUUGCUUUGUUCUCUUACAACUUUUCAAAUUAUAUGAAUGUAAUAAAAAGCAUACAUUAUUAAAAAUUUUAACUAGGUAUUUCACAUAUGGAGCUGUGAAGAAUUUCUUUUGGUGCCAAAAUGUCAUAAGGAAAAAAAGUAUGAGCUUUGUGAUUUGUGGACCUGCUAUGUAGGCAAUCUUUUUCAAAGUUGUAUUUUUCAAGAGGUGUUGGAACAUUUUUCUCCAUAAGGAUCACAGGUGGGAAACUCUUCAUAUACUGCUUCUACAAGUUGGAAAUUUUCCUUGUUUGAGGAUAAUGCAGAAAACAUUCAGUCCUCCAUGUUUGGUUGCUUUAUUUCUUCCUUUAGCCACAUUGCAGAGAACUUUCUAGAAAAGAAUUAAGAAUAUGCACCAAGAAACUCAUCACCACAACUGAGCACACAAUGGUGAGCAAGGUUAUCUCUAAAAUUGUACUCUAUACAUUUUUAAUACUCAAAAAGAAACAUCAAUGUGUCUCAUUUUCUAAUUUGUUAGAGAACAUGUCUGGUAACUGAUUAAACAAGCUAUAAAACACGGGGACCAAAGAGCCUCCAAGAACUUGAAAGACAUAUUACUUGGAUAAGCAAGUAACUCAUGAAAGUGAUGCUAUAGGAAAGAAUUUCUGUACAUCCUCCAUGGCUUGGUCCAAGUGAUGAGCCCUUUUCCAGUCCUUCUCAACAGACUUUAUGACCUACGUCGCCUAUUCCUCUCCUUAAUUCAUUAAACUGCAUUAAUUCAAACUAAUUAUCAUUUAAGCCUUUGACUCUAAAUUUCCUGGAUGAAAAUUUUGGAAUCUCUGAGUCAGAUGAACGUAUUACAUAAGUGCGCCCCAAGGAUUCACAAGCAGAAAACACAUCUUAGCGCUCAGUAAUGCCAGGGGACAUUCUUUUAGGGCAUCAUUCCUCCCUGAUUAUCAUUUUAUCUUCGCUCUUCAGUUGCAAGUCUUUCAUGAAGAAUUUGGGCAACGUUUUAAUUUAAAAAAAUUCCACCAUGCUACUUACAAACAUCAUUUUAAAAAACCUUUUAUUCAAUGGUAUACACAUUCAAGUAACAUUUGAAAUUUUUAAAAUAUAUGCUCAGAAGCAUGUGAACCUGCUGCUCUUGGUUAUUUACCUCACACACCCGGCUCAUGGUCACGUGCCCUUCAGGAGCCUAUUCCUGGAACCCCAUUUGGCAGUUUACCCAACAGAGCAAAAUUAAAAUUUAGAUCCUAGCCCCAAAAUGUUAUGUAACCAAAGCUUUGGUUUUUUGUGACCUUGAAGCGCUAGGUCAAGCCAAACAGCUUGAAUGUAAUUGUGUUUAACUGGAAACUCUGUGUCUGUACAUUUUUAAUGUCCCCAGAUUGCCACAUGAGACUCAGUCUUUAAAUGGGAUCCUUCUGAAGAGCAGAUUUCUUUGGGAGACAGGAUGAGGUAAAUAUGUAGAGACUAAUAUGACACAUGACUGUUUUGCAGGAUGACGCAACCAUGCAGUUGUUUUGUGAUUACCAAGCUCAUGAAGAAUGAACAAUAGACAUUGGAUGCAUUGGUUCAUGCUGUAGCCGCUGUAAUCAGGAAGCUGUGGGAGGAAGAACCCAAGUAGGAAGCCAAUCUGGAUACAUAGGGAUAGCCUGUCUAAGAAAACUAAAAAACUGUAUUCUGAAUACAACCCAAUGGCUUAAAGUAUCACUUAUAAGGAAACUGUAAACUUGCAAAACACUUAGAUUAUUUUUCUAAGGUUCCAAAGUAAGUGUAAUCGGUAAAGUUAAAAACUGUGGAGACAAUUAAGAGCAUGUAUGAGUCAGAUACUGGAAGCCUAGAAAGGAUCAAAAUUUAGAUCAAACAUGGGUUCUACUAAGGAUAUGCCCCCUAGCACUGUUUGGUCAAAGACCCACUAAUAUAUCCACCAAUAAUAAAGAGAACCUGUUCAAGUGUGUGUGUGCUGGAAUGACGCUCUUUGCUUUUCCAUUUUUUCCUGUCCAUUUGCCAGUACCAUUCCUUCUUAGUAUUUGUCGUGGUGGAAUGAUGUUCUGAGGACGUCUGAGGUUGGUACUAUGAGAGUUAUUUGUAAUGCUCAACUUGACACAGUGAAGGGAGGGUCAAUGUGGAAACUUCUGGGCUAGGAUGGCCUAUCAGGGGUGUUUGUGGGCAACUGUCAUGGUUACCUGCACAUGUGGGAAGAUCCGUGUGCAGCAUCUAUCUGUGACUUUGGAUCCUGAACUGUUGAGUGAUCAGAAAGUAGCUCAUUGAUUUCUGCUCCCAUUACUGCGUCUUCUCAGCUAUGUUGAACUGUGACCAGGAAUUGUGAGCCAAAAUAAAAAUUGCUUUUUAGGGUUCUUUAUCACAGCAACAAGAAAUAAAACUAAUCUAGAAACUGAACUUUAAGAAUUUAUUUAAACUCCACCUAGCCCAGAAGUUUCCACAUGGAUCCCAGCAGCCAGGAAAUGGAAGGAAAAAAUAUUCAUUCAUGGGGAGACAAUUAUACUUUCUUGAGCCACUGUACUUUCCGGAGUUAUGUCAUUUUACUGAAAUGGAGCCUUAUAAAUGGCAUAGCCCUGGUGUUUAAAAAUAAUGUAAUAUUCUUUGCAGCAUUCUUACAGAAUGAAUGAAGCACAGAUCCUGCUCAUUCUUCCUGUGUCCACUAUCCACACCAAAAGAAGAUCUACCCAAGUCGAAACCAUCACUCCAUCUGUUACUAUCACUCUUUGGAGUUCAGGACCCCAUCUGCUCCCAAGAGAGCAUGGUUGAAGGUCAGGGGUGGAGUCAGGAACAUUGGUUAGCAUGUUCAGCCCGAGUAGCUGCUGAGUCAGCAUCCAUUACAUCAUUUCUGCUCAUUCCCCAGGCCCUUCUCCAGGUCAUGCUGGACUCCUCCCUGCCAUGUGUCCUGCUCUUGGUGUCACCCUGUUCUUUGGCCCCAGUCUCCUCCUGCCGUCCUCAGAUGGAGGCAGACUCCAUGGAUGCCUGUCUUCUGUAUCUGGUAAACAGACACAGGAAAAUUGCUAGUUCAAAGUCAGCUAGAGCCACAAGGUCCCACUUCACAUUCUGAGUAACUGUCCCAGCUUCUGGAGAGCAAACAGAACAUAAGUUAAAACCCAAAACCCAGUGAAGACAAAUACUGACUGAGAAGCUGGAUUGAGAAAGAAUGGAGAAUAAAGCCACAAGAAGAUGGUGGAUGGAGAUCCACCAAUGGCUGCUCUACAGCAGGGAUGAGGAGCGGGUGUAGAGAUGGGCGAACCUGUGACUGACAGACGAGGAGAAGCAUGCUGAUCUUUAUUCUCUACCACCUUACAGGCUAAGGACCGUGACAUGGGAAGUUCCUUGGACACCUGAUACCUCUCUCCUGCUAACAAGAGUUUCAACAAUGUUCACACACACAGAUGCCCCCAACUGGAGACAUAUCUAUAAAAAAAAUCUAUGAUGAAUUUUACUUGGAGCUAUAACAGCAAAAGUUCAAACAAUAUGCAUUCUUGAAAAACAGAAGAGUAAAAAAUAAAAGAUUACUGUAAUAUCCCAAACAAACAGAGAAGUGGUUGAUAUAUUUCUCUGAAGACUCUGGCUUGAUUCAUGUGUCCCACAGAGCACCAGGGAUCAGGUACCAAUAGGCUGGGUCUCAAGACUUUAGAGUCCCGAGGGUGCAGGGCGUGAGGAGACAAGGUUGAGCUGUAUGAAACAUAAUAGAAAACUUAAAAAUGAAACGAAGAGCGAAACAGCAGAAGUCAAGCAAAUGGCGGACACGGAGAGACACAGUAAGAAAAUGGCAACAUAUUUAGAUGUUGCUGCCUGCCGUGUGCUGUGGCUGCUGUGGCUACUGCUGUGGGACCAAGAGGUGAGUGACCUUCCUUUGGAACAUGGAAGCUUUGGCUAGAUGCCAGUAUCCAAACAUGGUAAACAUGAGACAGACACUGUCACUGCUAUUGUUGCAAAGGACAGAUUUUCAGCACUCGCUGUUGUAGAAUUUAUUUAAUCCCAUUCUAGGGUUCCUACCCUGCCUUGAUUAUUUAGGUUUUGGAUAAAAGACAUAUAUAACUUUAUAUUUAUCAUAAGCUUUAAACUGCAAAAGAGCCUGGCAGAUAUCUAUCCUCUAUGUUAUUAGAAUUUUUUGAUAAACCUGAGUUAUUAUUUGUUGGGUUUUAUUUAGGCUGUUUUUAAUUUCAAUUGACCAGCUCUCAGGGCCUUACCUAACCCAUUGUGGCUAUUCAUUUAUUUAUUGUUUUUUUUUAAUCCUCCAAAGCCCAGGAACACUAAACCCUAAAGGGGGUAGAUAUCUGCUUAGCUUAUGUGCUGUUUCAGGUUUAUUAUAAAAAUGAAAGGUAUAUGUUUUCUAUCCAGGAACUAAAUGAUCAAGGCAGUGUAGAAACCCUGGAUUGAAAUUAAAAUCUUGUAUAACAACUUGCCAUUCAGUCAUCAAUAUAGUUUACUUUCCUCUUGCAUCUUGCAUCUUGUUCAUAAUUUUUAAG